GUUUCUGUGCCACAACAAUAGUCAUUUGCAUAAGAGCACUCAACAACUCCAAAUUGCAAACAUAGAGGUGUCUCCUCUCCUUCGUAUCUGCCAUCAUCAGACAUUUUGGUUCCAAUAAAAGGAUUGGUCCUGGCAGAAAAAGAAUACUGCUCUGUUGCAACCUUGUUGGAAUCACAAAAUUAAUCUAUGGGAGGUGGCAGUCAGGUUGCCAUUUUACUUAGGUCUAGCAUAUCGUGUUGAAGGCAUUCCAUUUGCCAGGGAGAUGGAGACUGAAUUGUUGCAACUACUUUUCGUCAUAUGCCUGUGGCCUCCACAUGCAACGAAGAAAUUAACUUGAAAAUUUGAGACAACAGGGUAGUUAUUGGCUCCUACAAUUGUUUAGUAAGAAGAGAGUUUGAAGAUUUCCAGACAAUUAGGCUACAUGUUAUUGGAAAAUAUGGCAGUUUAGUCGGCGAAUCCUAUACUGAGGACAUAUGGACAAUUUAACUGAAACUGAAGUUUAAACAUAAAUUAGUUGAUCAUGGCAACAGUAACACUGAUGAGAUGGGUGAUCCAGCUGAAGCAGGAUUUUGUAUCUUUUCAAUGAAGGUAUACCUCCCACCUUUCCCGCCAAAGCUAGUUUUGAGGAAUUGGGGUAAAGCUUAGAUGAUGGAUCUCCUCGACAUUGUGGUUGACUGUGGGACUCAAACGUUUUUCCUUUUUCUUUUUCUUUUUUUUUUUUUUUGAGAAAAGGACUUAUGUUUUUUUUUCUCAAUAAAGUUCUUGUAGGACCAAAUUGCAAUUAGGUCUUUUUAAACACAAACUCUGCUUUCCCCCAAGCUGAAAUCUUAUGUAUCUUGUUGCUUAAGCCAUACACAUCAAAUUUUAAUUAUAAGAUAGAAACUCUAUGUAAA